UGGGGAGCCUCAGGGGGAGCUGGGCCCGGCUGCCUGGCAGGUCCCAGGGCUGGGGGUAGGAGGGAAGUUUCUUAUUUCUCCUGUCCCGACUUCCCUCUUUGAUUUAUAACACCAUGAAAUGCUCUGUCCUCUUCUUCUUUCCUCACUGUCCCUCAGGGCCCUCGGAGAGCGCGGGGGACCGCGGCCCCGGGGCCCAGGACUUCCAGGGGGUCGCCCCGCACCUCUCUCUGGCCCUUAAACGCGGGCCUCCGGGGCAGGAAACGGGGAGAUGGGGAAACUGAGACCCAGGGAAGUGAAGCCUGUCCAAGGUCAGACAGCUGCUAAGCUGGCAGAACACGGAUUCACACCCACAGCCCGGGAGUGUCCAAUAGGAUUCCUGCUGUGACUCAAGAGCCCAAAGUGUCUGUUCUACCAGGAGUCAAAGUUUGUGGGACUUUGCUGGUUGAGGCCCAUCUACUGUCCUACACUGAUUUUUUAAAUGUUAGUAGUCCUGGGAGGAGUGGAAACCCUACAACCCCAGGUGAAGGAACUCACUGGUUCAUUGGGGGUGGCCCUUCCCCAGGUGAGAGCACUGGGAGCCAGUGACAAAGAAGGGGAUUUUGGUGAGAGACCCCGUCUUCCUAAGGGGUCCUGUUCUCUGAUGGAAUAGGGAACUCCUGAGUUCUGAAGCACAGUGACCUAAAAAUGAGCCCAGCUUUAUGUUUGGGGGCAUUUCAGACCUAGGAAUCCCUCAAGAACCCCUGGGUAAAAGUGUCAUAGGAGCUUUCCGUGAGCAAAGUGAGCAAAGGGGGAGAGGCGGCCGCGGGACCCAGUUGGGGGCCAGUCCAAAGGCUCCAGGCCCCUCAUUUUGGGGACACCUUGCUGUUCCAGAGAUGAUGGGAGGGAAGCCCCGGAGAUCCAGGCAGCCCCCGGGAAGCACGGAGCCCGACCUUUGGGAGCCCCCACAGGCUGCGGGGUCCUGAAGGCUCCCCAUGUCAGUAGCUUCCAGCAGAAACUGGGUGUCUGGGGCCCCUGUGUGUCAGAGAGGCCUGUGGGGCCUGGAUGGCUUGCCCACCCCCAAGCUGCUGAGUUGGCGGCUGUGCAGCUGCCGUGCUGAAGGAGAGGGCCUGGUUUAUAAAUAAGCUUCCAAUGUGGAGAGUCAUCAAGUUUUUCAUCUGCUCUGGGCCCAGCUGCAGUUACCUCAGUGACCACAGAGCCUGGUGCUGUCCAGUUUUACCAGGCCCAGAACCGGGAUCCACCCAAUUCUACCAGGCGCAGAGCCAGAUUCCCCUGGCAGCCACCAGCCCCAGAUCUAGAACUGACCAAGCCCAAGGCUGGGACCUACUGGGACCUCCCAGGCCAGAUCUCCCAGAACUGGCCAGAUCUAGAGUUGGGACCAACUGGGAUCUGCCAGGUCAACAAUAGGACUGGCUGAGUUGGGAUCUACUGGGACCUCCCAGACGAAACACUGAGACUGACCAGGCCCAGAGCUGGGAUGGAUUGGGAUCUACUAGGUCUGGCUGAGUUGGGCUCUACUGUGACCUCCCAGACCAGUAAAGAGGACUGGCCAGAUCCAGAGCUGGGAUCGAUUGGGAUCCAACAGGUCAACAACAGAACUGGUUGUGUAGGGAUCUAAUGGGACCUCCCAGGCCAAAAAAUAGACUGGCCAGAUCCAGAGCUGGGAUCGAUUGGGAUCCAACAGGUCAACAACGGACUGGUUGAGUUGGGCUCUACUGGAACCUCCCAGGCCAAUAAAGAGACUGGCCAGGCCCAGAGCUUAGAUCUACUGGGAUCCACCAGUCCAAAUACUGAGACUGACCAGGCCCAGAUCUGGAAGCUACUGGGUUCUUCUAGACCAAUGAAUAGAACUGACCAGACCCAGCACUGAGAUCUGCUGAGAUCCAGUAGGCCAGCACCAGGAUCUACAGGAUCCCCUAGGUGGAUAAUAGGACCAGCCAGGCCUAGAGCCAAGAUCUUCUGGAAUCUACCAGUCCAAUCACUAACACCAGCCAGGCCAGGACUGACCGAUCGGGAUCCUGGCUGAAGCCAUUUGACUUGGCCCCACUGGGAUCAUCCGGGCCAGGGUUUUCUUCCAGGAGCAGGAUCUUAGGCCCAGAAGAGGAGUCCGGGGUGGAGGUGGGGCAGGACCAUCCCACUCUGCUCCAAACCAAGCUGCUAUUUAAAAACUGAAACUGGGAGGAGUGACAUGAAUGUGGCUGGCGGCUUGCCCAGCCCCCUCAUCCAUCCCCCACCCCCACCUCUGGCCCCUCCAUCUCCCCAAGCCUCUUCCCACGGCUUCCUCUUUCCUUCUCCAGCACCCCCUCCCUGCCCCCGUCUUCUGCAGUGUGGUCUCCCCCUCACCCAUCAGGCCUUUGGGAACAAGUCCGCCGUGCUCUGCAGACAAUUGGCUCCAGAGCCCAGAGGGGAGCUGGACUAGGGCGGGGUCCUGGCCCCCACCCCCACCACUCUCAGAGGAGGGGGGUUUGGGGAAUCUCCAGCUUGGUCAAAUGCUUGCUCUGGGCUCAGGAGCCAUCCCGGGCAGCCUCAUCCUGCCAGGUUAGGGACGGGUCCGGUGCCCCUAGAACCCUCCUUCCUCCCACUCUCUAAGGCCAGUGCUCUCAACUCCCCUCUUGUUUUGGUGAGCUCUCCUGAAGAAGCACCCCCUAAAGGGAGCUGGGAGAUGAUUAGGAAUCCCUUUCUCAGCCUCAGUUUCCUCCCUUGUAAAAGAGAGAUAAAAGCACUUGUCUCCCCUACUUCACAGAGUUGUCCUGGGGGCUGUAAGACCCUGGAGAAUCCCCUAAUCUAGAAGGCACUUAGAAACCGCCUCCCAAAGAAGGAAUCUCAGGAUGGGAGAGUUAGAGGCACCUCAGAGCCAUCAAGACCACCCUGGGCACAAAGGGGUCCCCACUAGAAUGGGCCUGAGAGGUGGACCCUCAGCCUCUACCUGGGGACGGCCAAGGACACGGAAAGUGAGCUUGUCUGUUUGGGAGACUCCAAUGGCUGGGACGUUCUUCCCAGACCUUGUAACUCCCUUGAAAUUAUCCACGUGGUGGCCCUACCAAGAGACCCCACUCUCACAUCCCCUCACCCCCACUUCCAUUCUCCAGAUAAAAGGCACCCACUCCCGGACCCAGGCUUCAAAGCCUCCUCACAUGACCCAGUUCAAAGCAUUGGCCAAAGAAAAACAAAAUAAUUCCUUCCCUCUGAGAGCUUGUGUUCCCUGGGGAAAAACAAAAUGUAUACAGAUAACGAACCAAAUUGUCAAAUAAGAUAACAGAGGUAGAGUAUUCCAAAGUACUUCCUUAAGUGCCAGAUAAAUGCUAGCUAUUGUUAGAGAGAUAGUUUGGUAUGAUGGUUAGGGCACUGGAUUUGGACCCUCGAGACUUGGAUUCAAAUCCUGCCUUGGAUACACCUAGUUGUGUGGCCCUGACCAAGUCUUUUAAUUUCCUAGCCCAAAUUUCUUCAUCUGUAAAACGAUACCUAUUUCCUACAGUUGUUGGGAUCAUCAGAUGAGAUAAUUUCUGUCAAGUCUUUUGAAGACCUUAAAUCUUAGGGGAAAAAAAAUCAGCUUACAAAGUAGUGAGGGUUGGGAGGGAAUGAGGAGCUGAGUCUUAAAGGGAGGCAGGGAUCCCAAGAGGCAGAGGAGAAGAAGAGGGAGAGCAUCCUGGGGAAAGGGGCUAGCCAGCUUUUGCAAAGGCAGGGUCAGGAGAUGGGAGGUCGGGAGCUACAGGCAGCUUGGCCACUUGGAAUGGAAGGUAGAACAGAUGAGGGGGCCUAAAGUAAAAAUUGCCUGGAAAGAGAGGCUGGAGCCAGGUGGGUUGUAAACAUCCAGUUUUAUUCCAGAGACACUAGGGAGCCAUUGAGGCUUCUUGAGCAGGGCACCAACAAGGGCAGAUCUGUGCAUUAAGAAGGUCACUUUGGGAGCUCGGCGGGGGAUGAAGUGUAGAGGGGAGAGUGAUGGGGCAGCUGGGAUCUGAUGCUGAGGACCUGGGAACAUCCUAGAACCCCCCUUCCCCAUAGUCUAGUCUACUGGCCUGGACCUUAGCCUGAUUCAUCUUAAAGAGAAGGAAAUUGGGCCCAGAGAUGGAGAGUGGCUUGCGUGAGAUCACAUAGGAAGUAGCAGAGCUGGGACCCAAAUCCUGGGGUUUUGCUCUCUCAUUGCCUGUGUCUCCUGUGUCCCUUUGUUUUUCUGAGGCCCUUUAUUCCCCAGCUGCCAUAACCAAGUCUUAGGACAUGUUUUUGUGUCCCAGUUUCCUCUGUCUGUUAAAGGUAGAGAUGGCUCCCUCUGAUCCGAGACUCUCCAGCUCAGAACAGGCCCAAGCUCUGCCCACUGAAGCGGGCAAGCUUUUCCACGUCCUCCCUGUUGCUCUUUGUGCCCAUCUGGGCACCAUGAACAGCACCCUGUAGGAGAAACCAGGUUUCUCAGCUGUCCAGCUUCCCAGGGAAGUGUCGCUUUUUGACAGGACACAGCUCGCUCUAGCAGGAAAAAGAACGGAUUUGUGGGUUAGAGGUCCUGGUUUUGAAUCCGGUUCUGCUCCCUACUAGACCUGUGGCUGUGGCCAAUUACUCCCGCUGUACAGUGGGCACUUGGGCCGAGGUUCUAAGGUUCCUCCCAGCUCUAUAUCCCGUGAGUCUGUGAUUCAAAGUCUUGUUCUAAAGCCCCACAGAAUUGGGGGCUCAGACCUAGAAGAGAAGAGACUCCCCCAGCACACGUGAAGAUGUUCUAUUCUAACUGACCGGGAGUGGAAGGAAGGGAGUGGUGCAAUAAAAUGGACAUCUUCAAGGAGGAAAGCUCUAGGUUAUGGUGAGACCUUGGCAGAAUCAUUUGGAGGGGACUGACGAAGGUCAGGAGGGAACCGUUCUAGCCCCCCUGGACUAGGUCUGGCCCUCGGGCCUUCUGAGACUGUUUCCCCCUCCCCAUUCCCCCUUGAGGUUUUUCCCUCUCCCUCAGGGCUACCCCUCCUCCUCCUCAGGCUGUGGCCUGACCAUCAGGCCCUUGGGUGCUGGUCGGCCUCCUUGGUAUAGAGCCAGAAGCUUAUAAAUAAGCUGCUGCAAGGCCCGAGCAGGCGUCUGCUCCGCUCCGGCCCCCACUGUCCCCCACUCCGAAAAGCACCGUUUCCCUUUUCUGGGUGACCACAUGCCAUGCACAGGGAAUUUCCAGUACUGAGUGGAGCCUCUGAUUCACUCUGGCCCCAGAGACAGUUAACUCCUUCUGGGAACCAGGCUGGCCUGAGGCACGCAUUCACCACUGGCCUCAACGGGGGGCGAGCCCAUUCCCUCCCCACCUUCAUCCCCAGCCCACUGGUGCAUUCAGGGCUCCCACACAGCCAUCUCAGAUCUCAUCUGGGUCCUGGGAAGGACCCCCACCUACCCACCCCCUUUCUGGGGUUCCUCUCAUAUAGGGCUCUCACACACAGGCCUCCCACUUUCCAUCCCUUGGUUCUAUCUACUCCAACUCCAAGCUGGGAGGUGGGAGCAUUCUGUGGGGAGAGCAUAGACCAGGGAGCUUAAAAGGGAAUAAAGCUAGAGGGAAGUGGAUGAAUGCAAAGUGGAGAUGUCUAGAAGGAAAAAAAAAAAACUUUGUUUCUCCAUUCUCCGUUUUCCUUUUUGUCCCACAGAGGGUGUCUAGUGAUUCUCAGGAGGUGAAUUAAGAUCAUUCCCCAUUCGUUGUCCACCUCUAGAGAGAAGGAGAAAUCCCUGACAAGUCAGAGAAGGCAGGCGGGUGGGACGGGAGAAGCGUAGGGGCAGUGGGGAGUUCCAUGUCAGUGAGGGGACUGGAGUUUAAAGUUGUAGGGUCAUCAACCAUAGUCGUAGUCAUCAAGGACUGAAGGUUCUGAGCUAGAAGGGCCCAUAGGUCCAUCCCCCCUCCUUUUGGAGACAAGGAAAAUAAGGGCUAGAGAAGGGAUUUGUCCAAGAUGGCAGAGGUAAGGGUGGAGUCAGAUUUCAAACUCGGGUUUUAUGAUUUCAAAUGUAUUCUCCUUUCCCCUGGCUCAAGUCUCCGGGGGGGGGGGGGUAGGAGCCCCUACUAUGGGACUGAUUGAAUAUAAGCUUCUUGAAAGGAAGGGGGAAGGAGCUCCUUCUUUGUUUUGUUUUUUGUUUUUGGGGGGGUUUGGGGCAUUCCUCCAGCACCCAGCACGGUGCCCAGCAUAUUUUAGGUGCUUAAUAAAUGCUCGUUGCAGCAUAUGGGGAUUAAGAUUAAGUCAUUAUUUACGAUAUGGGGGCAGUUGUGACUGAGGAGACAAUAGGGCCCUAGAGAGGGAAAUGGGGACGCAGGGUGGAAGGGCCUUGAACAUUCUUUGUUAAGUCAAUUCCAGGGACGAAACUUGUCAUCCACAUCCAGAGAGAGAACUCUGGAGACUGAAUAUGGGUGGAAGCAGAGGGUUUUUCACCUUUUUUUUGUCUGUUUUCCCCCCUUUUGGUCUGAUUUUUCUUGCACAACAUAGAAAAUGUGUUUGAAAGAAUUACAUGUAUUUAACCUUAAAAAAAUGUCUUUGUUAUAUGAAGGAGAAGAAGGAAGGCUAAAGGGAAACAAAGAGUAUCAAUAAAAGUUUACUUUUAAAAAGAA